rnacentral:rRNA from 1 species
CAGUCGCCACGGUAAUACGUAGGGGGCAAGCGUUGUCCGGAAUUAUUGGGCGUAAAGCGCGCGCAGGCGGUCAUGUAAGUCUGGUGUUUAAUCCCGGGGCUCAACCCCGGAUCGCACUGGAAACUGGGUGACUUGAGUGCAGAAGAGGAGAGUGGAAUUCCACGUGUAGCGGUGAAAUGCGUAGAGAUGUGGAGGAACACCAGUGGCGAAGGCGACUCUCUGGGCUGUAACUGACGCUGAGGCGCGAAAGCGUGGGGAGCAAACAGGAUUAGAUACCCCAGUAGUCCCUGUCUCUUAUACA